rnacentral:rRNA from 1 species
UUUUAUUUGAGAGUUUGAUCCUGGCUCAGGAUGAACGCUGGCGGCGUGCCUAACACAUGCAAGUUGAGCGAUUUACUUCGGUAAAGAGCGGCGGACGGGUGAGUAACGCGUGGGUAACCUACCCUGUACACACGGAUAACAUACCGAAAGGUAUGCUAAUACGGGAUAAUAUAUUUGAGAGGCAUCUCUUGAAUAUCAAAGGUGAGCCAGUACAGGAUGGACCCGCGUCUGAUUAGCUAGUUGGUAAGGUAACGGCUUACCAAGGCGACGAUCAGUAGCCGACCUGAGAGGGUGAUCGGCCACAUUG